rnacentral:rRNA from 1 species
CAGUCGCCGCGGGAAUACAGAGGGUGCAAGCGUUAAUCGGAAUUACUGGGCGUAAAGCGCGCGUAGGUGGUUUGUUAAGUUGGAUGUGAAAUCCCCGGGCUCAACCUGGGAACUGCAUCCAAAACUGGCAAGCUAGAGUAUGGUAGAGGGUGGUGGAAUUUCCUGUGUAGCGGUGAAAUGCGUAGAUAUAGGAAGGAACACCAGUGGCGAAGGCGACCACCUGGACUGAUACUGACACUGAGGUGCGAAAGCGUGGGGAGCAAACAGGAUUAGAUACCCGUGUAGUCCCUGUCUCUUAUAC